AUUGAACGCUGGCGGCAUGCUUUACACAUGCAAGUCGAACGGUAACAGGCCUUCGGGUGCUGACGAGUGGCGAACGGGUGAGUAAUGCAUCGGAACGUGCCCAGAGGUGGGGGAUAACGCAGCGAAAGCUGUGCUAAUACCGCAUGUGAUCUGAGGAUGAAAGCGGGGGACCAGGCAGCAAUGUUUGGCCUCGUGCCUUUGGAGCGGCCGAUGUCAGAUUAGGUAGUUGGUGGGGUAAAGGCCUACCAAGCCGACGAUCUGUAGCUGGUCUGAGAGGACGACCAGCCACACUGGGACUGAGACACGGCCCAGACUCCUACGGGAGGCAGCAGUGGGGAAUUUUGGACAAAGGGCGCAAGCCUGAUCCAGCAAUGCCGCGUGCGGGAAGAAGGCCUUCGGGUUGUAAACCGCUUUUGUACGGAACGAAAAGGCUCUGGCUAAUACCUGGGGCUGAUGACGGUACCGUAAGAAUAAGCACCGGCUAACUACGUG
rnacentral:rRNA from 1 species